GAUGAAUGCUGGCGGCGUGCCUAACACAUGCAAGUCGAGCGGCAGCGCGAGUAGUUUACUACUUGGCGGCGAGCGGCGGACGGCUGAGUAACGCGUGGGAACGUGCCCCAAAGUGAGGGAUAACGCACCGAAAGGUGUGCUAAUACCGCAUAUGAUCUUCGGAUUAAAGAAUUUAUUCGCUUUGGGAGCGGCCCGCGUCAGAUUAGGUAGUUGGUAGGGUAAUGGCCUACCAAGCCGACGAUCCGUAGCUGGUCUGAGACGAUGACCAGCCAGACUGGAACUGAGACACGGUCCAGACUCCUACGGGAGGCAGCAGUGAGGAAUCUUCCACAAUGGGCGAAAGCCUGAUGGAGCAACGCCGCGUGCAGGAUGAAGGCCUCCGGGUUGUAAACUGCUUUUAUAAGUGAAGAAUAUGACGGUAACUUAUGAAUAAGCACCGGCUAACUACGUGCCAGCCGCCGCCGUAA
rnacentral:rRNA from 1 species